rnacentral:misc_RNA from 1 species
UACGUAGGGGGCAAGCGUUGUCCGGAAUCAUUGGGCGUAAAGCGCGUGUAGGCGGUUUGGUAAGUCUGCUGUGAAAGUCCAGGGCUCAACCCUGGAAUGCCGGUGGAUACUGCCAGACUAGAGUCCGGAAGAGGCGAGUGGAAUUCCUGGUGUAGCGGUGAAAUGCGCAGAUAUCAGGAGGAACACCAAUGGCGAAGGCAGCUCGCUGGGACGGUACUGACGCUGAGACGCGAAAGCGUGGGAGCAAACAGG